rnacentral:rRNA from 1 species
AUGCAAGAGGCUAACCCACAAUCAAUCGUUAGCAUAACAAACGACAAAGAAGAAGAAAACAACAAAGAGGAGGUAUCACAAGCACUGCAAGACCAAGAGACAACCCGUGUUGAAAUUGAACCCCGUAGUGAACCUCAAACAGACGAAGGCGUCACAGAACAGGAACUUUGUGUACAAGAGAUUUCCAGCGCCACGACAUUUCAGAUCACCAUCACGAGUACAAAGGAGAAAGCCCAAGACAUCCUAGCCGAUGAGAAACAAGAGACUAUUAUACCUGACAAACAAACAGUAGAUGCAGGCACGAAUAACCCAGUCAUCAACGCAGAGGAAAAAAACGAGUACGCUGAUCUCGAAGAUCAAGAACUUCAAACAACAACAUCUGAAGAGGUGAGGUUACAAAGCUCAGACACAAAUGAAGUUCAAUCUAUAAUUUCAAUUUUCAUUAAACAGGAAGAGGAAGCAAGCAAAAGCACUGGCAUAGACAUUCAACAAGAAAAACUAGAGGACAACACGAGACAAGGAGAAGCCGUAGUACAAGCAGUAGACAGUCCUGCAACUCCAGAGAUAGAGGCACAAGAAGCUCAAGAAACCAUCAACAAACAAGACCAUCAAACACAACCAGAGGAGCCCAAUGAACAACCCGAACAUGUUCUUCAAAUGAUAGACAAUAAUGCCACUGAAGACCAAGCCACAAAAAAUUCACUCACCAAACAACAGGUACCAGAGACAGCGGCAGCGUCAAUGAUUGAAAAGAGAGAGGAGACCAAUGAGCAAAAGGAGGGCACUGAAGAAGGGCAACAUGUUCUUCAAAAGCCAUACAUCAACAUAAUAGAAGACCAAGCCCCAAAAUAUUCACUCACCAAAAAACAGCAGCAGAGACAGCAGCAGCGACAACGACUGAAAAGCUAG